rnacentral:rRNA from 1 species
AACGCGAAGAACCUUACCUGGGUUCGAAAUGCAGUUGUAAGCCUCAGAGAUGAGGUCCCCUCUUCGGAGGCAGCUGUAUAGGUGCUGCAUGGCUGUCGUCAGCUCGUGUCGUGAGAUGUUGGGUUAAGUCCCGCAACGAGCGCAACCCUUGUCCAUAGUUGCUAACGCGUAGUGGCGAGAACUCUAUGGAGACUGCCGGUGAUAAACCGGAGGAAGGUGGGAUGACGUCAAGUCCUCAUGGCCUUUAUGUCCAGGGCUACACACGUGCUACAAUGGACGGUACAAAGAGUCGCGAUCCCGCGAGGGGGAGCUAAUCUCAAAAAGCCGUUCUCAGUUCGGAUUGUUCUCUGCAACUCGCCUGCAUGAAGCUGGAAUCGCUAGUAAUGCUAUAUCAGAACGAUAGCGUGAAUACGUUCCCGGGCCUUGUACACACCGAGUAUA